UACGUAGGGGGCAAGCGUUGUCCGGAUUUAUUGGGCGUAAAGAGCUCGUAGGCGGCCUGUUGCGUCGGUUGUGAAAGCCCGGGGCUUAACCCCGGGUCUGCAGUCGAUACGGGCAGGCUAGAGUUCGGUAGGGGAGAUCGGAAUUCCUGGUGUAGCGGUGAAAUGCGCAGAUAUCAGGAGGAACACCGGUGGCGAAGGCGGGUCUCUGGGCCGAAAUUGACGCUGAGGAGCGAAAGCGUGGGGAGCAAACAGG
rnacentral:rRNA from 1 species